UACGGGGGGGGCAAGCGUUGUUCGGAAUUACUGGGCGUAAAGGGCGUGUAGGCGGCCAACUAAGUCCGACGUGAAAUCCCCAGGCUUAACCUGGGAACUGCGUCGGAUACUGGAUGGCUUGAAUCCGGGAGAGGGAUGCGGAAUUCCAGGUGUAGCGGUGAAAUGCGUAGAGAUCAGGAAGAACACCGGUGGCGAAAGCGUUCUGCUAGACCUGUACUGACACUGAGGGACGAAAGCUAGGGG
rnacentral:rRNA from 1 species